GGUGACUGAGUGGCGGACGGGUGAGUAACGCGUGGGUAACCUGCCUCAUACAGGGGGAUAACAGUUAGAAAUGACUGCUAAUACCGCAUAAGACCACAGCACCGCAUGGUGCAGGGGUAAAAACUCCGGUGGUAUGAGAUGGACCCGCGUCUGAUUAGGUAGUUGGUGGGGUAACGGCCUACCAAGCCGACGAUCAGUAGCCGACCUGAGAGGGUGACCGGCCACAUUGGGACUGAGACACGGCCCAAACUCCUACGGGAGGCAGCAGUGGGGAAUAUUGCACAAUGGGGGAAACCCUGAUGCAGCGACGCCGCGUGAGCGAUGAAGUAUUUCGGUAUGUAAAGCUCUAUCAGCAGGGAAGAAAAUGACGGUACCUGACUAAGAAGCACCGGCUAAAUACGUGCCAGCAGCCGCGGUAAUACGUAUGGUGCAAGCGUUAUCCGGAUUUACUGGGUGUAAAGGGAGCGUAGACGGAGUGGCAAGUCUGAUGUGAAAACCCGGGGCUCAACCCCGGGACUGCAUUGGAAACUGUCAAUCUAGAGUACCGGAGAGGUAAGCGGAAUUCCUAGUGUAGCGGUGAAAUGCGUAGAUAUUAGGAGGAACACCAGUGGCGAAGGCGGCUUACUGGACGGUAACUGACGUUGAGGCUCGAAAGCGUGGGGAGCAAACAGGAUUAGAUACCCUGGUAGUCCACGCCGUAAACGAUGACUACUAGGUGUCGGGCAGCAA
rnacentral:rRNA from 1 species